ACGGGGCGCAGCAGGCGCGAAAACUGUGCAAUGCGCGAAAGCGCGACACGGGAAACUUGAGUGCCUUGGCAUUGUCAAGGCUUUUCUUAAGCCUAAAAAGCUUAAGGAAUAAGAGCUGGGCAAGACGGGUGCCAGCCGCCGCGGUAACACCCGCAGCUCGAGUGGUGGUCACUUUUAUUGAGCCUAAAGCGUUUGUAGCCGGUUUUGCAAAUCUUCAGAUAAAUUCCUCUGCUUAACAGAUGAUCUUCUGAAGAGACUGCGAGACUUGGGACCGGGUGAGGUUGAAGGUACUUCCGGGGUAGGGGUAAAAUCCUGUAAUCCUGGAAGGACGACCGGUGGCGAAGGCGUUCAACUAGAACGGAUCCGACGGUGAGGAACGAGGGCUAGGGUAGCAAACCGGAUUAGAUACCCGGGUAGUCCUAGCUGUAAACACUGCCCACUUGGUGUUGCCCCUCCGAUGAGGGGAGGCAGUGCCGGAGCGAAAGUGUUAAGUGGGCCGCUUGGGGAGUAUGGUCGCAAGGCUGAAACUUAAAGGAAUUGGCGGGGGAGCACCGCAACGGGAGGAGCGUGCGGUUUAAUUGGAUUCAACGCCGGAAAACUCACCGGGAGCGACCUUUGGAUGAGAGUCAGCCUGAUGAGCUUACUCGAUAGAAGGAGAGGUGGUGCAUGGCCGUCGUCAGCUCGUACCGUAGGGCGUUCACUUAAGUGUGAUAACGAGCGAGACCCCCAUCUCUAAUUGCUAACGUGCAUUCGCGUGUACGCGCACUUUAGAGGGACCGCCAGUGCUAAACUGGAGGAAGGAGGGGUCGACGGCAGGUCAGUACGCCCCGAAUCUCCCGGGCAACACGCGCGCUACAAAGGGCAGGACAAUGAGUUGCCACCUCGAAAGGGGGAGCUAAUCUCGAAACCUGUUCGUAGUUAGGAUUGAGGGCUGUAACUCGCCCUCAUGAAUGUGGAUUCCGUAGUAAUCGCGGGUCAACAGCCCGCGGUGAAUAUGCCCCUGCUCCUUGCACACACCGCCCGUCAAACCAUCCGAGCUGGUGCUGGAUGAGGGUAUGCUCUUAUGGGCAAACUCAAAUCUGAUGUCGGUGAGGAGGGUUAAGUCGUAACAAGGUAGCCGU
rnacentral:rRNA from 1 species